AUGCAGUGUUUUUCCUGUCCUCCCUUUUACUCAUUUCUGUCCUCCACUCUUUCCUCUCUUCUACUUUGUUAUCUCUCUUCUCCUCUCUCUCUCCUCCUCCUCCUCCUCUCUCUGCCAUCUUUUCAUUCUCCUUUCUCUCUCCUCCUCCUCCUCCUCCUCCUCCUCCUCCUCCUCCUCCUCCUCUCUCUGCCAUCUUUUCAUUCUCCUCUCUCUCUCUCUCUCUCUCUCCUCCUCCCUCUCUCCCCUCCCCAGACCUGGAGAGGAGUCAGAGUCGGUGUCCGACCUGCUGGAACUCGGCUCGGCCUCUCUCCCGGGCUUCCCUCCCUGUGGACCCCUCAGUCCUCUCGGGGAGACUCCUCCCGGUUCCUCGUCCCACCUCUCUGUGGAGGAGGUGUCCUCGCUGUGUCGCAGACGCAGUUCAGAGUCCCUGGAGGCCGGACACUCCUGCUGCCCCCCCAUGAUGCCCCCUGCUGUGCCCCCCAGCUCCUCUGCCCCCACCUCCAGUGCCACCUCAUUCAAUCUGGAGGAAGCCUUGGAUAUUCCGGUGGAGUCGAUCAAUCACAUGCUCCCCCCUUCGACCAGCAGCAUGGGAAACCUCUCCUCAUUGGAUGUUACCAACGACGACGAGCUGCCCACCGACCUCAGCAACUCCUCCGAUACCCAGGAAGAAAGUCAGUUCCCUACCCCUACUUAGUCAGUACCCCUACGUAGUCAAUACCCCGUCCCCCAUGUAGUAAGAAUCCCAUCAGCUACUUUGUAGCCCUACCCCCCCCCCUUCAAAUAUAAAUAGCUCGAGUUCCGCAAAGGGAUGUAAAAAUAUGGCCCGUUCACCACAUUGGAACAUAUUUACAGAACAGCAGUCCUCAAACAAUUCAUUGGCCCAAAAGUAUCCCACACAAGCUAUUAAAAGACUGUCCUUGUUGCUAUCAGUGACUCCCUCAACCGAUUUUCCGUUCACCGACGCGUCUAUAAAGCUCGCACGACACAGGCAGUCAUUUCAAUUGAGUCAAAGUUGACAUGUUUAAAGCUCUUGUUUGAAACACAGUUGUUUUUGUUUGUUGAGCCGGUUCUUUGUUUUACUAGUCAGCGCUUGAGCUUUAGUACAAUCCAUUAAAUUCCCCCUUCCAUAACAUCUCACUGCCCCCCCCCCCCUUGGUAAACACUAACUCAGUACUCCUUCCAGUACUUAAUCAAUACCACUGAUGUGGCGGUGUUUUGUCUAACUCCUGUGUGUGUGUGUGUGUGUGUGUGUGUGUGUGAUGAUGUCCACAUCUCUCAGCAUAGUUGUUGUUUUUGUGGGUUGCAGUUUAUAAAACUGUCAAUUAAAAAAAAUGAAAAAAUAGUCAAUGUUGCUUUCAUGUGCUACUGAGCAGAGGAAA
rnacentral:lncRNA from 1 species